AUUGAACGCUGGCGGAAUGCUUUACACAUGCAAGUCGAGCGGCAGCGCGGGGGCAACUCUGGCGGCGAGCGGCGAACGGGUGAGUAACACAUCGGAACGUGCCCAGUUGUGGGGGAUAGCCCGGCGAAAGCCGGAUUAAUACCGCAUACGACCUGAGGGUGAAAGGGGGGGAUCGCAAGACCUCUCGCAGUUGGAGCGGCCGAUGGCGGAUUAGCUAGUUGGUGAGGUAAAGGCUCACCAAGGCGACGAUCCGUAGCUGGUCUGAGAGGACGACCAGCCACACUGGAACUGAGACACGGUCCAGACUCCUACGGGAGGCAGCAGUGGGGAAUUUUGGACAAUGGGGGCAACCCUGAUCCAGCCAUUCCGCGUGAGUGAAGAAGGCCUUCGGGUUGUGAAGCUCUUUCGGCAGGAACGAAACGGUGAGGGUUAAUACCUCUUAUCAAUGACGGUACCUGAAGAAGAAGCACCGGCUAACUACGUGCCAGCAGCCGCGGUAA
rnacentral:rRNA from 1 species